rnacentral:rRNA from 1 species
GGAUUAGGCAUGCAAGUCGAGCGCUCAUAGCAAUAUGGGAGCGGCGAACGGCGUAGUAAUACGUAGGAACGUACCCUCGGGUCGAGGAUAGCUAUGGGAAACUGUAGGUAAUACUCGAUAACCUCUGCGGAGCAAAGGUGUGAUUCCGCCCGAGGAGCGGCUUACGCGAUAUUAGCUAGUUGGUAGGGUAAUGGCCUACCAAGGCGAUGAUGUCUAGGGGGUGUGAGAGCAUGGCCCCCACGACCGGAACUGAGAUACUGUCCGGACACCUACGGGUGGCUGCAGUCGAGAAUCUUCCGCAAUGGACGAAAGUCUGACGGAGCGACGCCGCGUGCGGGAUGAAGGCCCUUGGGUUGUAAACCGCUGUCAGAGGGGAUGAAAUCUUCGGAGGUACUCCUCCGAAGUUGACAGAGCCUCAGAGGAAGCACGGGCUAAGUAUGUGCCAGCAGCCGCGGUAAUA